CAGCCCGCAUUGCUCAAUCGGUUAGAGCGCAAGACUUGUAAUCUCGACAUUGUGGGUUCGAUUCCCGGGCUGGCCAACUAAAAUUACUAAUCAGUCUUUCGGAUGAGACUUUAAAUCGAGGUCCCGUGUAUGGGUGCUUAAACACUUGGCACGCUAAAGAACCAGGAGAAGCUUCUGGAAUUGGGGCAUCUUUCUGUAUCUGUAAUUGCACUAUCCUCCGAAAAAUAAAAUGACUAAUUCUCUUCUGGAGGGCUCGCCCAUAUGGGCAACCGGUGGCGAGUAUAAAUAAACGCAAAUACACACACACACACAUUUAUUAGUGGUCAAACACCGUGAAAAUUGCCGCUAAAUAUGAGGUGAUAAAAUCUACAAGAUUCAGUGAAUGUUUCAGGUAAACGACGUGGGUAAUUGUCAUUACUUAACAAAGCUUUAUUCUUUUCUGUGACUGAUUGAAUUAACGAUGCCUAAAUACUUAAAAAAGAUAGAAAAACAGUUAAUAAUUAUUGACAUUCUGACUUUGUUUAUGGUGUCAUUAAAUUUGCAAGUUGUAAUUACCGGUUAUAGGGCCUAUAGGUUGUAUGCCACUAUGUAAAUUUAAAAAAAAAGAAAUACGUUUGCUGAUCAAUGCCCCACCUUCAAAUGAAAAGUGUCCCGGAAAUGAGUCUAAAAAUUAUGGCAUGUAUGGUCAUUGUAUUGACGGCAAAAACAACGGAAUUACACGAAAUGAUGAAAAUCGUGCACAUGUUACUGACGUAGUACACAGGUUUAUUGCGUAGUACACAGGUCUAUUGAGCGCGCAAUAUUCAAAGACGGCAAAAACUUCGUCUCAUAUCAACAGUGAACUGAUGAUAUAAUCUCCCCAAUAAAGAUAUACAACGAGGAAGGUGAAAUUGCUCAAGCAAAUUAUCAGAAGAAGACCUUCAAAGCUGCAAUCGGUGAAAUUCACUGUCCUGCUGAUAGUGUCCAAUGUGAAAGUUCAUCGAAAAGGCAGGAACUGCUAGGGGUUGUGUGGUUGAGGCUAGAUCUGACGGAUGGGAGGAUGAGUGCAGAAGCCUGCGUAGAAAGAUUUGGCGCAUGGAGGAGGGAAUUACUGCUUUAGAGAGUCAGAAUACAAAAGUGGAGGACCCCGAAUUAUAAGCUGUGGAACAUCUAAGUGAUACUCAAGAAGUCUUGGUUACAUUAGCAAAGACUAUCUUCACUGUGGAGGAACUUAGAACCCACUCUAGGACUGGAAAGAUGACCAAUAAGUGCAAGGAUUCCCCGAGACCACCACUUGAACCCUUGAAACUCAGCAAUCUUUAAAGACUAGUGAGGAAGAAAACCGGUGUAUCAAAAGAAGUAUUUAAUAAAAAACUAGAGAACUUACAAAAGGUCAUCAGAAGGAAAUAAAUCACAAAAUAAGUGAAACAUUGGAAACUAAAAAAACUAAUUUCAAGUUUUUGGUUUUUGCACUUUUGAA